CUUGCUGGCAGCUUUGCCCCAUCGGGCGGCCCCCUCCCCCCCCCGCCCCGAGCCUUCCCGACGGCCGCUCCGGUGGCAUCCCCAGAUCCUGCGUGCUCCUCGGCCCGUCCCCUCUCCAAAAUCCGUUCGCUGUCUUUUUUUUUCUCCCGAAAGCCGCCGAACGAAAGCGGCGUUCCGGAGGCCCCCGUCGGGUCCGUGCUGUGCCCGAUCCCCCCCUCACCCCCGCGGUGCGAUUUACCCUUCGCUUCAGGGGUGCAGAGGAAGGCGGCUCCCAAGGACGCGGCGGCUUUCAGAGGCUGCAGGUGCUCCCCCCGCUCCGGCGCGUACACCUACAAAACAGCGGGUCAGGGCGCGGGGCCGACCCCGAGGUGCCCCCCGGCCCCGGCCCCGCACCUCGUAGGCGCCGCCGUUGCUGUUCCGCUCGGGGCUGCCGUCGGGGCCCCGGGUCCCCUCCUCCGCCGCCCCCUCGCCCCCUUUCUCCUCCGGCCCCUCCGCCGCGGGGAGCGGCUCCUCGGGCGCGGGCAGCAGUCGGGGCGGCGGCGGCUCUCGCUCCUCUGCGGGAGCGGCGGUCUCCUCCUCGUCGUCCUCGGGGAAGCGGUUGGAUUCCACGUCCACCUCGGGCUCCUCGGCCGUGUCCCCCCCGGGGGACAGCGAGCGGUAGCUGGAGCUGCCCUCGCUGAGAAAGUCCGGCGAGAGGUAGCCGGGCGCUCGGGCCGCCGCCCCGCCGUACGCCUCGCGGGUGCCGUAGAGCUUGGCGAUGCUCUCGGUGUCCUUCACCACCGGGCGGAAGGCGGACAGGUAGCUGCCCUUCCUGGGCAGGGGCAGCGGGCCCAGCAGGGCCUCGUCGCCGGAGCGCUCCUCUUCGCCGGCCGCCCUGGACAGCGCGCUGGGACAGCGCUCUCCGUCCGCCCCGGAGCCUUCCUGGGGCGUCGCGCUGCUCCGCCCGCUGCCCGACGGCUCGGAGCCCUCCAGCUCGCCGUGCCGCCCCGACGGCUCCGCCGCCGCCGCCGCAGCCGCCGCCGCCGCCGCCACCACCACGGCCGUGGCCGCCGCUUUGGCCUGGCUCUGCGCCGGGUAGGGCGGCACGGGGAGGCUGCCGGCCGCCGGCCAGAACAUGGGGAACGAGGGGUACACGGCCGCGUCCUUGGCGGCGCCGGGCUGGUGGGGCGGCUGGGCCGGCUGCGGGGGGUGCGGGGGUCCCCAGAACAUCCCCGAAGGCAGCGCGCCGCCUUUCCCCGCCUCGCCGCCCCCCGCCCCGCCCAGCGCGUCCUCCUGCUUCUUGGGGCAGAGUCCGAAAGCGGCGGCCGGGAAGCCGUAAGGAUGCGGGAAGAGCGGCGGCGGCAGCUUCUGCAGCAUCCCGAAGCCUUUGCUGGGCACCGGGAUCACCGGGUAGCUCCGCACAGCUCCGGCCCCGCCGUGCCCCCCCGCCGCCCCGCCGUGCCCCGACGGCAGCCCCAGCGCUCCCCGCUCCCCCGGCGCCUCCUGCCCGCCGCAGCGGAGGCUCUUGUGCGCGGGGGGCAGCUCGGGGCCGGCGGGCGGCGGGGGGUGCAGCGGGGCCUUGGCGGCGGGAGAGCCCCCCCCGGGACCGCCCCCGGCCGCGCCCUGCAGGGAGAAGGUCCGCUUGCGGGUGCCGCCGUUGAACAUGGCCUUGACAUCCUCCCAGGCGUGCGACAGCUCCUCGGUGGCCGUCUUGUCGCUGAGCUUGAGGUGGCGGCGCCACGAGUUGAAGUUGGCGGCGUCGGGCUGCGUGUAUUUGGAGUCCGGGGUGCGGUGCGAGUGGAAGAUGAACUUGUUGGGGGAGAAGUACAUGCUGCAGUAGCUGCACUUGAUGCACUUGGCGCGGGAGCUGUUGUAGCGGGCGGGGAUGAAGCUGCCCCGCGAGCCCCAGGCGCACUCGUGCACCACGUCGAAGGCGAAGUUCUCGGGCAGCUUGGGCGGCUUGUGCUCGCCCAGGAAGGACUUGCAGAGCCGCUCGGCCUCCCGCUUGGUGAUCAUGCCGCAGCGGCGCGACGAGAUGGGCAUGGCCCCGGCCCGCCGCAGGAUCUCCAGCUGCACGGGCGUGCACUGCACGCAGGUGAUGCCCAGGGCCACGCGCCGGUUGUGGAUCUCAUUGUAGCUGUAGUUCUUGAGCAGAGUGUUGGAGAUCUGCGCCAGGCACAGCCGCUCCUGCCCGUCGAUGACCAGGGACACGAUGGGCACUCCGUACAGAGAGGUCUCACCCACUUGGUUGGGCUUCAGGGUAUUGGAGCCCUGGUACGGCUGCAGCUCUUGCUUUGA
ensembl:lncRNA